CAUCGUUGGAUCUGAUUGUUAUGUCCGAGGAUGUCAGAUCACGUUUUAUUCAAAAUAUUUUUCCUUGCAAUAUGGCCUAUCUAAUAUUUUUUGCAUAAUAAUCAGCUUCCGUUCUUUCGUUUCGCCGGCUUAGCGCGUGGGCGUUUGGCUUAAAGUGAAAUUUUUUGUCAUAUCGAAGGCACGGAUCAAGAAUUUUCUCGAAUAAUGGCUGCACAUUAUUUGGUGAAUUUGCUAAAACGUCGAGUAUCACGCGUGCGAAGCUGGACUCGAUCGAUCGGCCAUGCUCGUGUGACUUGUGUGUUCGGUUAAAACCGAUUCCUGGCAACCGAUUUGUCGUUUAAACUUUAAAUAUGUUCGGCCUGGCCAAGCCGUGUUUGCAAUGGCAAAUCUCCAAGAGGCAAGGAAGUAUAUUGUUUAAAUACAGCAGUGUUUUGCAAGCAGCUGUUGAAGGCGUUAUGAUCUUUUAUGCCUGUAGAGAAAGCUUUAAUUGUUGCUACAUCAUGUCUGAAUCCACAAAGAAUAACUACAGCACAGGUUUGGUUGCUUUUAUAAAACAUUUGUUGUUAUACAUACGGUCCUUUUAUAUUGUCUAUUCUUGUACAUAUAUUUCAGUGAAUACAUGUAGCUAUUUAAAUCGUUGAUUUGAAGCUUAUAUGUAACAGACGCUUUCAAAUGAGGUAUAGCUGUAAUCUUUAUCGCAAGAAGGUAAUAAAAAUGCUUUUAUAAUAUCGCCAUUUUAAAUACGGUGUAUAAUAUUUAGGAAAAGCUGAGUAACGGCUCUAUUAACGGUCCCAAAGAUUUAAGUUUUCGUAUUAAUGUAGUUGUACAUUGCAUUACAAAAGUCAUGCAUUAUUUUUACAAUUUAGUGUAGAAUGUUUCUUGCUUUGCGC